ensembl:rRNA 5S_rRNA 5S ribosomal RNA
GUCUACGGCCAUACCGCCCUGAACACACCUGAUCAAGUCCAAUCUCGGAAGCUAAGCAGGGUCUGGCCUGAUUAGCACUUGCAUGGGAGGGGAAGGGAGAAAGAUAGACACCUGCAGGCC